rnacentral:rRNA from 1 species
GUCCAGACUCCUACGGGAGGCAGCAGUGGGGGAUAUUGCACAAUGGGGGGAACCCUGAUGCAGCAACGCCGCGUGGGUGAAGAAGUACUCCGGUAUGUAAAGCCCUGUCAGCAGGGAAGAAAAUGACGGUACCUGACCAAGAAGCCCCGGCUAACUACGUGCCAGCAGCCGCGGUAAUACGUAGGGGGCAAGCGUUAUCCGGAUUUACUGGGUGUAAAGGGCGUGUAGCCGGGCUGACAAGUCAGAUGUGAAAUUCCGGGGCUCAACCCCGGACCUGCAUUUGAAACUGUUGGUCUUGAGUAUCGGAGAGGCAGGCGGAAUUCCUAGUGUAGCGGUGAAAUGCGUAGAUAUUAGGAGGAACACCAGUGGCGGAGGCGGCCUGCUGGACGACAACUGACGGUGAGGCGCGAAAGCGUGGGGAGCAAACAGGAUUAGAUACCCGUGUACGC